rnacentral:tRNA from 1 species
GGAGGAUCAGUGGCUCAACGGUAGAACAUCUGCUUGGCAUGCAGAAGUUCCUAGGUUCAAUCCCCAGGGUUUCCA